CCUACGGGUGGCAGCAGUGAGGAAUAUUGGUCAAUGGACGAGAGUCUGAACCAGCCAAGUAGCGUGAAGGAUGACUGCCCUAUGGGUUGUAAACUUCUUUUAUAUGGGAAUAAAAUGUUCCACGUGUGGGACUUUGUAUGUACCAUAUGAAUAAGGAUCGGCUAACUCCGUGCCAGCAGCCGCGGUAAUACGGAGGAUCCGAGCGUUAUCCGGAUUUAUUGGGUUUAAAGGGAGCGUAGGUGGAUUGUUAAGUCAGUUGUGAAAGUUUGCGGCUCAACCGUAAAAUUGCAGUUGAAACUGGCAGUCUUGAGUACAGUAGAGGUGGGCGGAAUGCGUGGUGUAGCGGUGAAAUGCUUAGAUAUCACGAAGAACCCCGAUUGCGAAGGCAGCUCACUGGACUGCAACUGACACUGAAGCUCGAAAGUGUGGGGAUCAAACAGGAUUAGAUACCCUUGUAGUC
rnacentral:rRNA from 1 species